UACGUAGGGGGCAAGCGUUGUCCGGAUUUAUUGGGCGUAAAGAGCGUGUAGGCGGCUUUGCAAGUCCGUUGUGAAAACUCGAGGCUCAACCUCGAGACGCCGGUGGAAACUGCAAAGCUAGAGUCCGGAAGAGGAGAGUGGAAUUCCUGGUGUAGCGGUGAAAUGCGCAGAUAUCAGGAAGAACACCCGUGGCGAAGGCGGCUCUCUGGGACGGUACUGACGCUGAGACUCGAAAGCGUGGGGAGCGAACAGG
rnacentral:rRNA from 1 species